GCGCCUGUAGCUCAGUUGGAUAGAGCAACGGACUUCUAAUCCGUAGGCCGGGCGUUCGAGUCGCCCCAGGCGCA
rnacentral:tRNA from 1 species